CCAUAGCCCUGAUAGAAGCGGCAUCCUUUUUAGGCAAACGAAUUUUUCUUGUUUUACGAUAAAUCUUCUGCCUAAAAAGAUAUAGCGAAUAGCAGGAAACAGC
rnacentral:sRNA from 1 species